UACGUAGGGGGCGAGCGUUGUUCGGAAUUACUGGGCGUAAAGGGCGCGUAGGCGGCCGAUCAAGUCAGAUGUGAAAGUCCUGGGCUUAACCUGGGGACUGCAUUUGAUACUGAUUGGCUUGAAUUCGGGAGAGGAUAGCGGAAUUCCCAGUGUAGAGGUGAAAUUCGUAGAUAUUGGGAAGAACACCGGUGGCGAAGGCGGCUAUCUGGACCGACAUUGACGCUGAGGCGCGAAAGCGUGGGGAGCAAACAGG
rnacentral:rRNA from 1 species